GUCAUUAAUUCAUUCAUGUAGCUAGAUAAUUCUAAAGCUUGGUUAUCUUAAUUUGUUCUACUCUAUGCUUCAGUACACUAGAACAAUGAUACUUAGGCAUGUGACUUAUGUAAAGUUGUGAAUUGGAUAUAACCAAACUUAGACAAAUUUGUUUAUCGUCUAUAGUCUGGGGACUUGUUUGAUGAACUUUGUUUUAAUUUUUCCUUGAAUCCCAUUUUUGACAAAAACAAUUUCAUUAUAUGAACACAUAAACUUAACAAACAAAUAGCAGUCUUAAUCUCAAUCACAUGCAGCAUAAUAUGCAAUAGCCCCAGCGACUAACGCUCAAUAGAGCGUCUUGUUUUAUAUAAUUACACUGGCCGCAGCCAGUGUUAUAAUUUGCCCUCGCUGGAAUGCGAGGAAUUUUUUCGGUUUUUUUUUUUUUUUGGUUGUCGCAAGUGUGACUUUCCAUUGCGGCAUCGUGGGCUCAGGAUUGCGCAACUUAGCUAAAACAUGCUCACGACUAUUAAUAUUAGGACCAAUUCUACACAUUGUUAUUUAGAACGAAUUUCGUAUUUAACUACGUUACAAACCUUAGACGCUGUAAUUGUGGGAGGUAUUUUAUUAUAUUUCUUUGCGCAUGCGCUUGAACUUUUCUGUGUUAUUCGAUAUAAUAUCGUUGAACUCUAUUGGUUUUGUAUGGAUUUUUAUUGUGCCGUACUCUGAAUGUUUCUGAUCAUGAAGUGACGGCCGUCAAGAAGUGAAGAACAUCUACAUGUUUCAAAUUACUUUUUAGAAUAUUGCGAUUUGCGAUCAUUUAAUUUUCUUAGGCCUGUUUCAAACAUCGCGCCUCUCAUGUACCAAAUGCAUUAAAAACAAUAGAUAACGAGGCAUUUCAGCUGAUUAUCUAUUGUUACACUGGCCGCAGCCAGUGUCAUAAUUUGCCCUCGCUGGAAUGCAAGGAAUUUUUCUCUUUUUUUUUUUUUUUUUUGUUGUCGCAAGUGUGACUUUCCAUUGCGGCAUCGUGGGCUCAGGAUUGCGCAAUUU